GCUUGGUGAGCGGGAGAAACAGUGACAGGAUGUUCUAGUGCUCACUGCUCUUAUUUUCUUAUAUCAGUCUUUUAUUUACAAUGUUAACAGAUGCAGGACGAGUUGGCCAACAAACGUUGUACAGAAGAAAAAAAACAGGACUUUGACAACGAUAUGAACAAAUUAAAUAUAUUCUCAGUGUAAACUAUUCCAGCAACAACUCUUUGCCUGUAACAAAACUCAGGUAUGGCUCGACUCUAGCCAACCUGUUACCUGACCAGCCUGCUCUUUUCCCAGGCAAAGGCCAACUGAGCAGCUAAGUACUCUUUCCAUGAACAUCCUUACACUAGAAAUGUUCCAUCAUGAUUGCCCCAAUAUACAUUUCUACCAUAAUUUACCAUGGACAUACUGUGCAUUCAGAAAGUAUUCAGACUCUUUGACUUUUUCCAAAUUUUGUUACAUUACAGCCUUAUUUUAAAAUGGAUUAAAUCCCUUUCCCCCUCAUCAAUCUACACACAAUAGCCCAUAAUGACAAAUCAUAAAUAAAAACCGAAAUAUUACAUUUACAUAAGUAUUCAGACCCUUUACUCAGUACUUUGUUGAAACACCUUUUGCAGCAAUUACAGCCUCGACUCUUCUUGGGUAUGAUGCUACAAGCUUGGCAUAACUACAGUACCAGUCAAAAGUUUGGAAACACCUACUCAUUCCAUUCCUACUCAUAAUUUUUUUGCUAUUUUCUACAUUGUAGAAUAAAGGUGAACACUAUGAAAUCACACAUAUGGAAUCAUCUAGUAAUCAAAAAAGUGUUAAACAUAUCAAAACAUAUUUUAUAUUUGAGAUUCUUCAAAGUAGACACCAUUUGCCUUGAUGACAGCUUUGCACACUCUUGGCAUUCUCUCAACCAGCUUCAUGAGGUAGUCACCUGGAAUGCAUUUCAACAACAGGCGCCACCUUCCAGUUCAAGUCACCAGGCUGCUCGUGAUGACACCUGUCACCAUCGUUACGCGCACCUGCGCAUCAUCACUCACCUGGACUCCAUCAGUUCCCUGAUUACCUUCCCUAUAUAUAUAUAUAUAUCACUCCCUUUGGUUCCUUCCCCAGGCGUUAUUGUUUCUGUGUCAUGUCUGCGUUGUCCAUGUUUCUUAUUUUGUAUUAUGUUGUGUUUAGUUAUUAAAACACUCAUUCCCUAAACUUGCUUCCCAGCAAUUCAGUGCACAUCUUUACAAAGAUACUGUAGUUAUUCUGCACCCUCUGACUGAAAUCUUUUUUUCGUAAGGGUUGUACUCACUUGAAAACAAUAAAGCAAUUAUUCAUUG